GUCGAUGGGUGAUCACGAAGGCCCAUGGCCUAGAUUGGCGACCUCCAUUGCACCUGGGAGGGGCGCCCGUCUAAGGUCGGCCCAAGUGGUCGAGCCUACGUCAUAAUUUGUGGUAGAGGGGGCCUGCGUUCGCGCGGCCCCUGCCCAAUUCUAGUUUUAAGUUAUGCGCCUAUUCUUGGGUUAUGAGCCUGCUAGAAUUCUACGCGGAAAGCUCAGCGGACCAAGCUCUAAUGGAACAAUUUCUGGGCUGUUAAAUGUUCGCGUUUAUGUAAACGGGGUCAGACUGGAUUUGUGAGUACCGGUAGAUUUUGACCACGAGGAUUUUAUGCUGCCACCAUACCAUUUGUUAUCUGAAAAUAAUGAGGACAAACAGGCUGCAGCCUCUCUGUUGGACUUGGACCUUGUUUGCAUAAUCUCCAGAAUCAAUCAGAAACUUCUCAAAGUGGAAAGAAAAUCACAUUAAUUUAGGGUGAUAUACAUGGAAAUGUUACAGAGAAUUAUGUAUCAUAGUCAUUCGUUUAUAUUAGAGUAGUUCACGCAAAUUUGAGAUUUGGUCCCUAGCAACAAUCUGUAAAUGAAUUAAUUUUCCUGGCGUUGAAUUCUUCUCACUUUAAAUUAUUUUCACGUUUGAUUGUUCUUUACAAUAUUAGUAGCAUCUAAUUCCUAACACAAUCUCUGUAUCUAUAUGAUUAAGGUAAUGGACGUAAAGCAGAC
rnacentral:lncRNA from 1 species